AUUGAACGCUGGCGGCAGGCCUAACACAUGCAAGUCGAGCGGUAGAGAGAAGCUUGCUUCUCUUGAGAGCGGCGGACGGGUGAGUAAUGUCUAGGAAUCUGCCUGGUAGUAGGGGAUAACGUUCGGAAACGGACGCUAAUACCGCAUACGCCCUACAGGAGAAAGCAGGGGACCUUCGGGCCUUGCGCUAUCAGAUGAGCCUAGGUCGGAUUAGCUAGUUGGUGAGGUAAUGGCUCACCAAGGCGACGAUCCGUAACUGGUCUGAGAGGAUGAUCAGUCACACUGGAACUGAGACACGGUCCAGACUCCUACGGGAGGCAGCAGUGGGGAAUAUUGGACAAUGGGCGAAAGCCUGAUCCAGCCAUGCCGCGUGUGUGAAGAAGGUCUUCGGAUUGUAAAGCACUUUAAGUUGGGAGGAAGGGUUGUAGAUUAAUACUCUGCAAUUUUGACGUUACCGACAGAAUAAGCACCGGCUAACUCUGUGCCAGCCGCCGCAGUAA
rnacentral:rRNA from 1 species